GCUAUGGGUAUGCGCCUCUAAAUAGGGCUGCAUGAAGGGCAGUGUGUGCGAUGGAGGGGAGAGGAAAGGGCACUGCACAUCCGUGCUGGGAACCCAACGUUCAGCCAAGAUCCUAAGAUCCCUUACCGUGAGCACUCGAGACAUCCUAGCACGAUGGCCCAUUCUGCAGAGUGCAAGGACUGCAAGGAUUCUCUUUCAAUCUUGUUGCUUCUCCUUUCCCGAUUAUCACAGAGAGAGGUGCCGAGCCCAACGGAAAGAUCUACGCAAAAGCGGUGCAGGAAGUCCUUCUGGAGAGAGCUCAUCUCCAGGCUGGAGGGCUUCCUACAACAGCAGGU
rnacentral:lncRNA from 1 species